UUUUGAUUAGUAGGUGAGGCACAUGAGGAGUUUGUGGUGAAUGCAUCAGUGGGAGGAAGAAAGGCAUGAAAUGAAGAAUCGACAUGAUUGUGGUGCCUGGAGCCAGAGAGUUAGCUGCUGGUUCCAGCUCUGGUAUUAACUGAGGGUGUGAUCUGAGAGGAGAAAGCUGAAGCACCAGAUGGUUAAAAGGACUGUUCAAGACAGCCUUGCAAUUUUGACCAAGGAAGAAAGCUGAAGAGUGCUAGGGCAAGAGAGGAACUACGUCCAGAACAAUUCAUAAUUCCAAAUUCUCACUUCCAUGAUUUCAAUGCUGAAUGUGUACUUCUCUAGCUAAAAAUACAAUUGCUUAAGUAAAAUCAUCAUUAUUUACAGUCUUGCUGAAUUGUGGUGUUGUUAUUAACCAGAAACAACAGCUUAAGUCAUUGUGUUUUGAAAUACUUGAUUUAUUAUCCUGAUUGUUUGAAAAUGCUACCUGAAAUUUUUCCUGGCACUUUUGAGUCAUUCUCACCAGGUACACACAUCUGGUGUUUCUCCAUGACACAGUAGCUGUUCCCCCUUUAAUUUCUUUCUUCUUCCUAACAGACACUGGAGUUAUAAUAUCAAACUUCCAUUCAUGAUGAAUAUUUGAACUACCAUGGAGACUGAGAGUCCAGGGAAGAAAAUAUGUCCUGUUGAUAUGUAUCUCAAUGCAUCUUCCUUUCUAUCUUCUUCCUGGGGCAGCCUCACAUAUAAUUCAGUUAGGAACCCCCUAAAUCCUGAUCCAUGUUGGGAGCCCUCUGAAACUUCAAUGUGCAUUAAACUCUCAAAACUUCCCAGU
rnacentral:lncRNA from 10 species